rnacentral:rRNA from 1 species
UACGGGGGGAGCAAGCGUUGUUCGGAUUUACUGGGCGUAAAGGGCGCGUAGGCGGCCACCGCAAGUCAGUUGUGAAAUCUCUGGGCUUAACCCAGAACGGUCAGCUGAUACUGCGGGGCUAGAGUGCAGAAGGGGCAACUGGAAUUCUCGGUGUAGCGGUGAAAUGCGUAGAUAUCGAGAGGAACACCUGCGGCGAAGGCGGGUUGCGGGGCUGACACUGACGCUGACAGCGCGAAAGCUAGGGGAGCGAACGGG